GAGAGCCGUAACACAGGUGCUGCAUGGCUGUCGUCAGCUCGUGUCGUGAGAUGUUGGGUUAAGUCCCGCAACGAGCGCAACCCUUGCCAUUAGUUGCUACGAAAGGGCACUCUAAUGGGACUGCCGGUGACAAACCGGAGGAAGGUGGGGAUGACGUCAAGUCCUCAUGGCCCUUAUAGGUGGGGCUACACACGUCAUACAAUGGUCGGUACAGAGGGUUGCCAAGCCGCGAGGUGGAGCCAAUCCCAGAAAGCCGAUCGUAGUCCGGAUCGCAGUCUGCAACUCGACUGCGUGAAGUCGGAAUCGCUAGUAAUCGCGGAUCAGCAUGUCGCGGUGAAUACGUUCCCGGGUCUUGUACACACCGCCCGUCACACCAUGGGAGUGGGUUCUACCAGAAGUAGUUAGCCUAACCGUAAGGAGGGCGAUUACCACGGUAGGAUUCAUGACUGGGGUGAAGUCGUAACAAGGUAACCG
rnacentral:rRNA from 1 species